CCAGGCUGCACACGCGUGGCCUCAGAGGGGAGGGGAAGGGGGAGCCCUGGGCUGCUGCUAGGGGCUCCCGGAACCAUCGCAUCCCUGCCCGGGGGGUGUCAGCGCUCGGCGCCCGCGGAGUGUGGCCAGCGCUCCCGGUGCUGUAGUUGUUGGGGUCCGCGCCGGGCUCUUCUAAGCCCUCAGGGGCAACAUCUUCAGGAACAACUUCUUUGCUGUCUUUGACCUGGGUCCUGAUCUUACACAGAGACUCCAACAAUGUCCCAUUUCAACAAAGCCGAGCAAGAUGACUGGAUGACUGUUUAUCUGAAGUAUCUCUUGUUUGUGUUUAAUUUCUUCUUCUGGGUGGGUGGUGCUGCAGUGAUGGCUGUUGGCAUAUGGACCCUUGUUGAAAAAAGCGACUAUCUGAAUAUCCUGGCAUCUAGUACAUUUGCCGUGUCUGCAUACAUCCUGAUCUUUGCUGGAGGUCUUGUGAUGAUUACAGGUUUUCUGGGAUUCUGUGCAAUCAUCAGGGAACAAAGGAGCUGUCUUUCCGCAUAUUUCUCCAUGCUCCUCUUGAUCUUCCUUAUUGAGCUGGUUGCUGGAGUUCUUGCCUAUGUUUACUAUCAAAGGCUAAGCGAGGAGCUGAAACAGCACCUGACCCAGACCCUGACUGAGAAUUAUGCUGUUCCUGGGAAAACACACAUCACCCAUUCCAUCGAUCGCCUGCAGCAAGACUUCAAAUGCUGUGGCAGCAAUAGCUCCGCUGAUUGGCAGCACAGUGUCUAUAUCCUGUCUGUAGAGUCCAGUGGCCGAGUGGUACCAGAUAGCUGCUGUAAAACAGUCACCUUCAAAUGUGGGAAGAGGGAUCAUCCAUCUAACAUUUACAAGGUGGAGGGAGGAUGCAUUACUAAACUGGAACAGUUCCUGGCAGAUCACCUUUUGAUAAUGGGAGCUGUUGGCAUAGGAGUAGCUUGCCUUCAGCUGCUUGGUGCAGGCCUGACCGCCUAUUUUAACUAUGUUCUCUAUAAGGAAGAGGAAGAAGAUGCGUAUUCUGUAAUGUGACUGGUUAGCCUUCUAUACCCCUACUAUGAGCCGAGCCCCUGUGUGGAAUCCAGCAGCACUUUCAGAGCUGUGGGAUGAUUUUUACCUGCUGUCUACACAGAAGAAUUAAAAUGGACUCUUACUGAAGACUAAAAGUCUCCGCUCUCUUUGCCUUAAUGCACAAUCUAGAGAAGCAACAUUUCAACGUGUAUCAGUAUUACCUGUGCAUGCUUAAUGGGCAUAUUUAUAGCCUCCUUCUCUGUUCAUGUUGAUAUGCCUUAAAUCGAGAUGAAUUUUAGCAAGUUCACUGCCUGGAACACUUUCCAAUCCACCUUGAAAUAAUUCUUAACUGAGAAGAGAAAAAAAUAUUUUCUAUUGUUUUUUGGUACAAGAUUUUUUUUUUUAAAAAAAGCGUUACUACUCUUAUGCAGUAUGAUUUGUAAGGACAUUCUUUUGUAGCUCCACAAUCUGUAUUGUUCAGUGACAGUGCAUCCGCUGCAUAUUCAUCCCAGAUUUUCUUAGUUUAACAGAAAUAUCUUCAUGACUAUAGGAUAUUUUAACUUGAGCAACUAGCUUUAUUUUUUUAAACGAAGGGAUUUUUUAUAUUUCAGAACUAUGUCAACUUUUUGCUGUUUAGUAUUUUUUUUCAAUCUGUGUCUGUCUCCCUCUCCCUCCAGGUCCAAUUGAGGCUGCACUGCAGUCACAGCACCUUUUGUGUCAGACAGAGAGUAACAGACUGGCCCUCCUGCCAGAGCUGCACCAGGAAUAGCCCAGCAGAGGGUACUAGAUGAGUAGACUGGAUGCAUUUCAACUAGAUUUGAUUUAGAACAGCAGUUCUCAAACUGUGGGUCAGGACCUCGUUUUAAUGGGGUCGCCAGGCCUGGCUUAGACUUUCUGGGGCUUGGGGCCGAAGCCUGAGAUGGGGCCGAAGCCUGGGUGGUGGGGCUCAGGUUACAGGCCCCCUGCCUGGGGCUGAAGCCCUUGGGAUUUGUCUCUGGCCCUCCCGCCUGAGGUGGUGGGGCUUGGGCUCAGGCUUCGGCCCCACCACCUGGGGUCAUGUAGUAAUUUUUAUCAUCAGAAGGGGGUCGUGGUGCAAUGAAGUUUGAAAACCCCUGAUUUAGAAGUAUGUUCAAUUAUAAUUUAGGGCCUCUGGGAAGAUUGUGAGUAGGAGGCAACAGUGGGAGAGUAUCCGCUUUUGCAUUGCUCUUGUUGCUGUUCCAUAUUUGUCUGAAGUGCCUCCGUUAGGACUUUUAGCUUUACUGCUUUAUUGCAGACUACCAGCACAAACCUAACUGAUAAAAGAGGAGAUUUUGUGCCCAGCUUAGGGAUCCUGAUUCAGAGGAGAAAAAUCUCUUUUUAAAAAGGAUUUUAAAAUGCUACACUACAUCAUUCAACUGUUUUCUGUCAUCAGAAUAAGAUGCAUUAUAUCAACUCCACUUAGGUAUAAGGGUUAUUUUGCUAAUAAGCCCUACAGUUACUAAGAACAAAUAAAAAGAAAUAGCAUUAAAAACAAAUCUGAAUUGCUGUCACUUUGCUGUGAUUGCCAAAUUGCUCAGAAACCACUUUGACGAGCACAGGAUGGAUAAAUGAUUAGAUAGGUGGAAUGGGUGCCUAGAUGGAACAGAUGGCUAGACAGAAUAGACAGAUGGAUGGCGAGAUAGAAUGGAUGGCUAGAGGUGUAAUAAAUUUUCUUUCCGAUUCUCUCUUUCAGGACAGUGAAAUUCUUUCAGUAACAAAUGAUUCUGCUGCCACAUAGUUAGUUCUUGAUUACGCAGUUGCAAAAUAGAAGGAAACCCCCACUUCUUUAUAUGAAUGUAAAUGAUGUAGUGUAGGCAUAGCCCAAGUUACAUUUGGUGUCUUUUAAAUCAUAGGCUGUCUCUGUAACUCAGCUUGUCAGGUUUUUACCAGCAAUUGUUUGCUAGUUACCACCUCCUUGUUUUACAGUUUAACACCAGUAAGUUUCUGUUUGAGGCUAGGACUGCCAAACAGCACAGGUGAGGGAAAGGCAGGAGGCAAUGCAUGCAUUUGAGGUAAAGGGUCGUUUGUGACUUGGUGAGCCUGUGUGUGCACCUCCAUCCACAACGAGCUGAAUAGUCCUUAUUACUUUUAUUUUUAACCUGCUUGAGAUAAAACUCUAUUGAUACAACCCAUUACUUUACCUGAACUUACUAUUUUUGUAUUAUUUGUAUUACCAUAGGGCCUAAGCAUUCUAGUCAUGGACCAGAACCCCAUUAUGCUAGGUACAAUACAAAUGCAGAACAAAAAAAAAUCCUAUCCCUGUCCAAAGAGCUUACAAUGUAAGUAUUAGACAAGAGAUAACAGGUAGAGACAGACUAAUGGGGGAGUACAAGGACACAAUGCUGGUCAGCAUGAUAGGAAGUGAUCGCAGCAUACCUGCAGCCUAAACUGUUGUGAAGUUUCUUACAGUCAUCUCAGCAAAGGAGAGAUUUAAGGAGGGUUUUGAAGGAGGGGGAGGAGGUAGCUCAGUGGAUGUUUAUGGGGAGCCCCUCCAAAGCAUGAGAGGCAGCAUGGGAGAAAGCACAAAGGUGCUUGUUCAAAAAUUUAACAAGUGGGCGAUUGAGGCUGGUAUUCUGGGCUGAAUGGCGGUGGGAGUCAACAUCUUGAUACUGACUGAGAAAUGAUAGGAAGGGCUAGGCUGGGAAGGCGUAUGUUUGUUGCAAUGGUAAGUAGAACCUGUUAGUUUUCUUUUAUAGCAGUGCAAACAGAUACUCAAGCAGCCUUCCUCUAUGUCGUAGGCUACUGUCCAUGUUAUCCAUGCUAAAUAAUGUGACAGCUGCAAAGGAAGGGCUAACGAAAGGAGACAUAAUAGGGUGACAGAUUCCAGGGCUUUUCUGCUGCAUUAUCUUGAUUCAGAUACUUGGAGCCUACAUAUAUCUGUCAAGGUGUUUUAACUGAGUCACUCUCUCCAUUCAAGAAAUAUAAGAUGGGUUGGAGCCUCUCCCUGAGAUAGAAGAAACUAGUGGAUGGGACAGAGGAGAUCUGCAGGGCAAACCCCAAGAACAGCCAGUUUGGGGAUGAAAGCAGCAUAGACUGAAGUGUUUUCACUGAUAUUUGUUACCCAUAAAGUUACAUUCCAGGAAGGAGGUAAGACUCAGAUCUGGGAACUGACAUCAUGUGGGCAGACUGUUAAUUGUAGGAUUGAGGCCUAAAUUUGGAUUUUAUAAAAUGUUAGUAUACUCUGUCCAGGCCAAAUUGUGAACAUCACCUGCUUACAGACAGCAACAAGCUUUUCUGUUGAUAAAGUAACUUUUGUGUAAAGGUGUCUUAGAAUUCAUCAGGAUAUUAACUGACUGCUUUAAAAAAAAUUCAAAGUGAAAAAUGUAACUUUGCACAGUGGCUUUCAUUUUGUGUUAGAUAAAGUCUCGCUAGCUCUCAAAAAGGUACUGCACAAUCGAAAGUACAGCUGGAGAGGAUAUUAAACAAUAUAAAGAACUAAGCCUCAGACGUGUAUACAGUCUAAAGCAGUGGACACAAAUGUGCCCUCCAGUCAGACAUAAAAUGUAGUGGAGGAAAAGCACUUUUGCCCUAUUGUACUUUUAUAAUAUACACAUUAUCAACUUGUUUGGAAUUGUAACGUAAACAGUCAAUCAGUUAGAAUAAUGUAAAAAUGCUGCAUUAAGUUAAUAGCAGAGUCCAGAACUCCAGUAUAACAGCUGUUACGCCAACUUUUGCCUUGUCAAACAACCCCAAUGUAUCUCACAGUGCCUAUUUCUUGCCAUAUUUGACUGAUUGUUAUGCUCUUCUAUGUGGUACUAUAAUCUUUCAGUGAAUAAAGGCAUAGAAUGUAAGUCAGGA